GAAAAAGGGAUCGGUGGCGGCUGGUGACGAUGACCGCCGAGCACCACCCGAACAGGCGGAGGAGCCAACUUCGGCGGGAGUCGUAACAGCCUUUGUCAAGUACUUGUUACACUGUAAAGAUUAAACAUCUAAUCAACUUCAUUUUUGGGCUUACAGAGUUGGUUUGGUUCCAGAAGACAGGGAAGAAAUCAACUCUGGCUGUCGGAGCAACCAGUCCAACACCUGCUGUGUUCAAUGUCACUAAGGGUCUAUCUGACAAGCAGUGGCAGUCCAUACAAGGGGAGAUGCCAGGCAAUAUGACAAGAGAGGACUUUAAUGAGACCUGCAACACCAUCCUAUCAUGGGUGAAAGAGGCCGUUGGGACUGCUGUGAAGCCUGCCCUGGACCUGACCUGGGAAAUCAUCACCACUAACGGAUCUUCAAUAUUGUCCACCCCCUCCAGCUGUUCACGAACAGAGGAAUGCUCAGUUGUGAUCUGUCCCUUUCCAUCAAGUAGCAGAUCCAAGAGUGCUUUGUUGGAUGAGGUUGACGAUGAACACGGUGAGUUGCCCUGUGGAUCAAACAGGUCCAGGCCAAGUAGGAAUGGAAGUAGACUGUUGGUGGAACCAGUAGUAGUUCUGUUAGGUGGGUCGCAAGAAGACGUCUAUCAGUGCAUUCAGUCUGAGAUUGAUGAGUCAGUAAGCAACAUAAUUCUCUCGUCAGAGCUUAGAGAUG
ensembl:lncRNA